rnacentral:rRNA from 1 species
AGGAUUCCCCUAGCUAACUGCGAGUGAAGCGGGAAAAGCUCAAAUUUGUAAUCCGUCCCCAGACGGAGUUGUAAUCUAGAGAAGUGUUUUCGGCCGUUGUC